rnacentral:tRNA from 1 species
GGAAGGUUGGCAGAGUGGUAAUGCACCGGACUCGAAAUCCGGCGAGCCGGUUUAUACUGGUGCACGGGUUCAAGUCCCGUACCUUCCU